rnacentral:rRNA from 1 species
CCUACGGGAGGCAGCAGUCGGGAAUAUUGCACAAUGGAGGAAACUCUGAUGCAGUGACACCGCGUAUAGGAAGAAGGUUUUCGGAUUGUAAACUAUUUUAGACAGGGAAGAAAAAAGACAGUACCUGUAGAAUAAGCUCCGGCUAACUACGUGCCAGCAGCCGCGGUAAUACGUAGGGAGCAAGCGUUAUCCGGAAUUAUUGGGUGUAAAGGGUGCGUAGACGGGACAGCAAGUUAGUUGUGAAAGCCCUCGGCUUAACUGAGGAACUGCAACUAAAACUAUUGUUCUUGAGUGCAGGAGAGGAAAGCGGAAUUCCUAGUGUAGCGGUGAAAUGCGUAGAUAUUAGGAGGAACACCAGUGGCGAAGGCGGCUUUCUGGACUGUAACUGACGUUGAGGCACGAAAGUGUGGGGAGCAAACAGGAUUAGAUACCCCUGUAG